rnacentral:rRNA from 1 species
UACGAAGGGGGCUAGCGUUGCUCGGAAUUACUGGGCGUAAAGCGCGCGUAGGCGGCUUUGUAAGUUAGAGGUGAAAGCCCGGGGCUCAACCCCGGAAUUGCCUUUAAGACUGCAUCGCUAGAAUCCGGGAGAGGUGAGUGGAAUUCCGAGUGUAGAGGUGAAAUUCGUAGAUAUUCGGAAGAACACCAGUGGCGAAGGCGGCUCACUGGACUGGUAUUGACGCUGAGGUGCGAAAGCGUGGGGAGCGAACAGG